rnacentral:rRNA from 1 species
UGGGGAAUAUUGCACAAUGGACGGAAGUCUGAUGCAGCAACGCCGCGUGCGGGAUGACGGCCUUCGGGUUGUAAACCGCUUUUUCUCAUGACGAAGUUUUUUGACGGUAGUGGGGGAAGAAGCACCGGCUAACUACGUGCCAGCAGCCGCGGUGAUACGUAGGGUGCGAGCGUUGUCCGGAAUUAUUGGGCGUAAAGAGCUUGUAGGCGGUUUGACGCGUCGAUAGUGCAAACUCAGUGCUUAACGCUGAGCCUGCUGUUGAUACGGGCAGACUAGAGGAAGGUAGGGGAGAAUGGAAUUCCCGGUGGAGCGGUGGAAUGCGCAGAUAUCGGGAGGAACACCGGUGGCGAAGGCGGUUCUCUGGGCCUUUCCUGACGCUGAGAAGCGAAAGCGUGGGGAGCGAACAGG